AACAAUGUAGAUAAGGGAAGUCGGCAAGCCAGAUCCGUAACUUUGGGAUAAGGAUUGGCUCUAAGGGCUCCCAAAGAAGUUGUGAACGCUCCAUCCCUAAUGGUGUUCAAGACCAGGUUGGACAGAGCCUUGGGCAACAUAGUUUAGUGCGAGGUGUCCCUGCCCAUGGCAAGUGGUUUGGAACUAGAUGAUCUUAAUGUCCUUUCCACCCCUAACUAUUCU
rnacentral:ncRNA from 1 species